UAUUGGGUUGGCCAAAAGGUUUGUUUGGGUUUUUCCAUAACAUCUUACAGAAAAACACAAAUGAACCUUUUGGCCAAU
rnacentral:miRNA from 1 species